GACGAACGCUGGCGGCGUGCUUAACACAUACAAGUCGAACGGGCCUGUCUUCUUUUUUGGGGGUGGGUUGAGUGGCGAACGGGUGAGUAUCACGUGAGUAACCUGCCCUUCGGUCCUGGAUAACCGCUUGAAAGGGCGGCUAAUACGGGGUGGUCCGGUUGGUCCGCAUGGGCUGGUCGGGAUAGAUUCACUGUUUUUGGUGUUUCGGCGGGGGAUGGGCUCGCGGCCUAUCAGCUUGUUGGUGGGGUGAUGGCCUACCAAGGCGGUGACGGGUAGCCGGCCUGAGAGGGUGGGCGGCCACACUGGGACUGAGAUACGGCCCAGACUCCUGCGGGAGGCAGCAGUGGGGGGUAUUGCACAAUGGGCGGAAGCCUGAUGCAGCGACGUCGCGUGAGGGAUGGAGGCCUUCGGGUUGUGAACCUCUGUUUCCGGUGGUGAAGGCCCUGUCCGUGUGGUGGGGUUGACGGUAGCCGGGGAUGAAGCGCCGGCUAACUACGUG
rnacentral:rRNA from 1 species